rnacentral:rRNA from 1 species
CAGCUGGCUGCAACUGUUUAUUAAAAACACAGCACUGUGCAAACACGAAAGUGGACGUAUACGGUGUGACGCCUGCCCGGUGCUGGAAGGUUAAUUGAUGGGGUUAGCCGUAAGGCGAAGCUCCUGAUCGAAGCCCCAGUAAACGGCGGCCGUAACUAUAACGGUCCUAAGGUAGCGAAAUUCCUUGUCGGGUAAGUUCCGACCUGCACGAAUGGCGUAAUGAUGGCCAGGCUGUCUCCACCCGAGACUCAGUGAAAUUGAACUCGCUGUGAAGAUGCAGUGUACCCGCGGCAAGACGGAAAGACCCCGUGAACCUUUACUAUAGCUUGACACUGAACAUUGAGCCUUGAUGUGUAGGAUAGGUGGGAGGCUUUGAAGUGUGGACGCCAGUCUGCAUGGAGCCAACCUUGAAAUACCACCCUUUAACGU